CUGACCUCCUGUUGAUGCCAGAGGUCAGAGGAGAAUGGCCAGACUGCCUCAAGCUGAUAGGAAGGCAACAAACCUUAAAGCAGAUGGGCUACAGCAGCAGAACAUUACAUCAGUUCAUAGUUGUGUCAGCUAAGAACAGGAAACGGAAGCUACAGUUUGCAUUAGUUUGAAAAAAAAAUGGAUAACAGAAAAAUGUUGUUUGAUCUGAUGUGAGUCUUGAUUUUUGCUUCAACACCACACGGACAGAAUGGGCCGCUCAGUACUAUCACAUUCCAACAUCUCCUUUGGGAUGUGGUGGAAUGGGAGACUGGCAUCAGGGAUGUGCGGCAUAAAAAACUGUAGCAAAGAUUAAAUUCAAAUAAUUAUUUGAAAUGUAGGAAAUACAGACUGGUUUAGCUCUGAGCUAUUUACACAAGUACAAUAUGAAAAAUGCUAGAAGCAGGGUAGCUCAAAUUACUAUACAAUAGAAACCAAUGAAGGAUUAUUUAACUGUUUAGAGCAUCAUGCAUCUCUUCACUACAACAUCCUAUUAUUUGGUGUAGAGCCACAGAAAAUAACUGUUUUCCCUUCAAAUUCAUCUAAAAUGAAGCAAAUUACUCAUAAAACUGAUGUUAUUUCAUAUGUUACAGUUGGAGACCACAUGUUAAUCUGUUAAAAAAAUUAUUGGAUCAUCAAUUCAUUUAAAAAAAAAAAAAAGGGUUUAUAGUUCGCUCACUGGAGAGCACAGAACAAGCCCCCCCACCCCUAUCAGUCUGACAAAUUGUUCUCAGUCUUCUGUUCUGAGUUUGAUCUGAUUUAUACGAAUGAUCUCCUUGUUAUAAUUUCUCAUAUGUGCACUUAUUCUCCCCAAAUUUCUUAAAGACGAGUUGUCAUGGACUGUGUUAAAGAUUAUUUCUGGAUGUUUCUAGUUUCAUGUCUGACAGGAUAGAACAGUCUUCAAGUCUGAUCCUCUGUAAUGUCAAAAAAGAGGAAAGGUGGGCCUGCUCUAAUGUAUCCCUCACAGUAUCUCUAAAUUUCACAGUCAAAUCCACUCUUUAAUGGUCAUGUUAGACUUCAAAAUGUUAAGAUGGUGACAGUAAAACAUGAUGUGGUGGCUCUGCUCAUAUUUUAUAUGCAGUCUUUAUGAAAUAUAGUGAAAAAUCAAUAGAAAAACAACAGAAAUAGUACAAAUUCAAAAAACAAU
ensembl:lncRNA